rnacentral:rRNA from 1 species
UACAGAGGUCUCAGGCGUUGUUCGGAUUCAUUGGGCGUAAAGGGUGUGUAGGUGGCGCCGUAAGUCGGGUGUGAAAUUUCGGAGCUUAACUCCGAAACUGCAUUCGAUACUGCGGUGCUUGAGGACUGGAGAGGAGACUGGAAUUCAUGGUGUAGCAGUGAAAUGCGUAGAGAUCAUGAGGAAGACCAGUGGCGAAGGCGGGUCUCUGGACAGUUCCUGACACUGAGACACGAAGGCCAGGGGAGCAAACGGGG